rnacentral:rRNA from 1 species
UAAUGGAAACGGAUGGAGCUGACGUAUCUGGCACGUAUUCAGUCUCGCAUCUCAGCAAUCGUUCUGACGACAUUCCGCAAGGUUGUCCAAGGGCGUUCUUGUUGGGCAUGUUGGAUGCAUUUGCGUGCGGAGUGCGCCGAGUGGGUCGAUGUCGCUGUUGGAAGGGCGUAUAGAGGACUCGGUCUUCGCGGACUCGAGAAUCCUGUGCGCUCGGAUAGCAGGUGAUGUUGGCUCGCUUUCGUUUUGUGCGGGUGAAUUCGCGAUCGGCGGCCUUGUUGCGAGUGAUUUGCGUUCGACACAUGUGUCGUUCGUUCGCUGCUCGUAACGACGGUCGUCGAUUGCCCUUGCACACGACUCGGUGUAUAGUCGGUCACCCAUUUGACCCGUCUUGAAACACGGACCAAGGAGUUUAAGGUGUACGCGAGUCAUUGAGCUGGCAAGACUCAGAGGCGUAAUGAAAGUGAGACACUUGGUGUCUAUGAUGUGAGCGGCGAGCGUUUCGACGUUCACCGUGCAACAUCGCCCCAUGACUUGGACUUGUCCUGUUGUGGAGGCUGAGCGUACGCUUUGAGACCCGAAAGAUGGUGAACUAUGCCUGAACAGGAUGAAGCCAGAGGAAACUCUGGUGGAAGUCCGAAGCGGUUCUGACGUGCAAAUCGAUCGUCUGAUUUGGGUAUAGGGGCGCAAGACUAAUCGAACCAUCU